GUGGCUCACGCCUGUAAUCCCAGCACUUUGGGAGGCCGAGGUGGGUGGAUCACGAGGUCAGGAGAUCAAGACCAUCCUGGCUAACACGGUGAAACCCCGUCUCUACUAAAAAUACAAAAAAAUUAGCUGGGCAUGGUGGCGGUGCCUGUAGUCCCAGCUACUCUGGAAGCUGAGGCAGGAGAAUGGCGUGAACCCGGGAGGCGGAGCUUGCAGUGAGCUGAGAUCACACCACUGCACUCCAGCCUGGGAGACAGAGCAAGACUGUCUCAAAAAAAAAAAAAAAAGAGAAUAUCCUUAACCUAACUAGGGAACUGGGAAUAAAAUUUAUACAACCCAGAGUCAGACAAUACCGAGUGUUUGUGAGGAUGUAAGGAAAAGAUGAGGCCUCAUCUUAAAAUUAGUGGUGGGAUUACAACUUUAAAAAUGCUGAUGGAAUUACAAAAUGAUUUAACCACUUUAGAGAGUAAUCUUGAAAUAUUAGUAAAUUUGAAGGUGUAAAUACACUUUCACCAAGCACUGACACUUUUAGAUGUAUGCCAUCAAGAUCUGAAAACAAGAAAUGAGUCAGGCAUGGUGAUUCAUACCCGUCAUCCCACCUGUAAUCCCACUCCAAGGCAGGAGGAUCAUCUGAGCCCAGGAGUCCAAGACCUGCCUUAGCAACAUAGUGAGAUCCCAUCUCUAUAAAACAUUUAAAAAUUAGCCAGGCAUGGUGGUGCAUACCUGUAGUCCCAGUUACUUGGGAGGCUCAGGCAGGAGUAUUACUUUAGCCCAGGAAUUAGAGGAAUUGGAGGCUGCGAUAAGCUAUGGCCAUGCCAUUGCACUCCAGCCUGGUCAAAAGAGAGAGACCCUGUUUUAAAAAAGAUAAUGAAGAAAACAAGAACUAUUCAUUGAAGCACUGUUUGUGGUAGUGAAAACCUCAAAACAACACAGUGGCGAUAAUGCAAAUGUCUACAGCUGAGUAAUGGGAUAAAUCAAAUGAGUUCCAUUUAAACAAAAACAUGAGUAAACUAGAUUACAUGUAUCAACAUGUGUAUAUAUUAAAGACAUUAUUUAGUGAAACAAAAAACUCGUUCUAGAAGAAUACAUACAGCAUGAAACCAUAUAUGUAAGGUUUGAAGCAUUCAAACUAAUAAUAUACAUUUUUAUGGGUACAUGCAUAUAUAGAAAAAGCACAAGUCCGAGCGUGGUGGUUCGUGCCUGUAAUCCCAGCACUUUGGGAGGCUGAGGCAGGUGGAUCACCUGGGGUGGGGAAUUCGAGACCAGGCUGGCUAACAUGGUGAACCUUCAUCUCUACUAAAAAUACAAAAUUAGCUAGGUGUGGUGGCGGGUACCUGUAAUUCCAGUCACUAGAAAGGCUGAGGCAGGAGAGUCUGUUGAACCCGGGAGGCAUAGGUUGCAGUGAAACCAGAUAGCGCCACUGCACUCCAGCCUGGGUGACAGAGUAAGACUGUCUAAAAAAAGCAAAAGUAUAUAAACAUGAAUUGGAAAGACACACACUUUAAGGUAGGUGUUAUCCUUGGGGACAGAGACAGGAGAAUCAUCAGUGAGACAUACAAAGGGGAUUUUUCCUUAAAAAGGGAAGGACAUAUUCUUCCUUCAAGAAAAACCCAAAAGUAAACAAAGCGAAAUGCGAACAUUUGUUAAAUUUCAGUGGUGGGUACAUGGCUGUCCAUUCUAUUAGUCUGUGUUUUUUCAGCAUGUUUGAAAUUUUUUAAAAGAAAUGUAUGUGGGGAUUCUGAAGUCAAACCCAAAUUCAAACCCCUUCUCUACUGCUUCUAGUACUCAAAUACCAUUCUACUGCUAAAGAAGAUACGCAUUGGCAACCACAUACAUGUGAGCGAGCGGGAAAAGUCCUAUUUCUUUCUUUCUUUCUUUUUUUUUUUAGAAAGAGUAUUGCUCUGUCGCCCAGGCUGGAGUGCAUGAGCUGAGAUCCCGCCAUCACACUCCAGCCUGGGCAACAAUAGCGAAACUCCAUCUCAAAAAAAAAAAAAAAAAAAA
ensembl:lncRNA